AUGCCGCGUGUGUGAAGAAGGCCUUCGGGUUGUAAAGCCCUUUCGACGGGGAAGAUGAUGACGGUACCCGUAGAAGAAGCCCCGGCUAACUUCGUGCCAGCAGCCGCGGUAAUACGAAGGGGGCUAGCGUUGUUCGGAAUUACUGGGCGUAAAGGGCGCGUAGGCGGACUGUCCAGUCAGGGGUGAAAUCCCGGGGCUCAACCCCGGAACUGCCUUUGAUACUGUCAGUCUUGAGUCCGAGAGAGGUGAGUGGAACUCCGAGUGUAGAGGUGAAAUUCGUAGAUAUUCGGAGGAACACCAGUGGCGAAGGCGGCUCUCUGGUCUGUUACUGACGC
rnacentral:rRNA from 1 species